UACGGGAGGCAGCAGUGGGGAAUAUUGCACAAUGGGCGCAAGCCUGAUGCAGCCAUGCCGCGUGUAUGAAGAAGGCCUUCGGGUUGUAAAGUACUUUCAGUCGUGAGGAAGGUGUUAAGGUUAAUAACCUUAGCAAUUGACGUUAGCGACAGAAGAAGCACCGGCUAAUUCCGUGCCAGCAGCCGCGGUAAUACGGAGGGUGCGAGCGUUAAUCGGAAUUACUGGGCGUAAAGGGCACGCAGGCGGUUAAUUAAGUUGGAUGUGAAAUCCCCGGGCUUAACCUGGGAAUGGCAUUCAAGACUGGUUAGCUAGAGUCUUGUAGAGGGGGUAGAAUUCCAUGUGUAGCGGUGAAAUGCGUAGAGAUGUGGAGGAAUACCGGUGGCGAAGGCGGCCCCUGGGACAAAGGACUGACGCUCAUGUGCGAAAGCGUGGGGAGCAAACAGGGAUUAGAUACC
rnacentral:rRNA from 1 species